rnacentral:rRNA from 1 species
UAGGGAAUCUUCGGCAAUGGACGAAAGUCUGACCGAGCAACGCCGCGUGAGUGAAGAAGGUUUUCGGAUCGUAAAACUCUGUUGUUAGAGAAGAACAAGGACGUUAGUAACUGAACGUCCCCUGACGGUAUCUAACCAGAAAGCCAGGGCUAACUACGUGCCAGCAGCCGCGGUAAUACGUAGGUGGCAAGCGUUGUCCGGAUUUAUUGGGCGUAAAGCGAGCGCAGGUGGUUUCUUAAGUCUGAUGUGAAAGCCCCCGGCUCAACCGGGGAGGGUCAUUGGAAACUGGGAGACUUGGGUGCAGAAGAGGAGAGUGGAAUUCCAUGUGUAGCGGUGAAAUGCGUAGAUAUAUGGAGGAACCCCAGUGGCGAAGGCGGCUCUCUGGUCUGUAACUGACGCUGAGGCUCGAAAGCGUGGGGAGCAAACAGG